GGCCGGGUCCCUCCAAUUGCGUUUUUGACGAAUCCCGCUAGGCCCGGAAGGGAGCAACGGUACUCGAGGACCUUUGUGAGAGGGUCGCCCGGCCACU
rnacentral:SRP_RNA from 1 species